AGCGAACGCUGGCGGCAGGCCUAAUACAUGCAAGUCGAGCGGAUGACGGGAGCUUGCUCCUUGAUUCAGCGGCGGACGGGUGAGUAAUGCCUAGGAAUCUGCCUGGUAGUGGGGGACAACGUUUCGAAAGGAACGCUAAUACCGCAUACGUCCUACGGGAGAAAGCAGGGGACCUUCGGGCCUUGCGCUAUCAGAUGAGCCUAGGUCGGAUUAGCUAGUUGGUGAGGUAAUGGCUCACCAAGGCGACGAUCCGUAACUGGUCUGAGAGGAUGAUCAGUCUCACUGGAACUGAGACACGGUCCAGACUCCUACGGGAGGCAGCAGUGGGGAAUAUUGGACAAUGGGCGAAAGCCUGAUCCAGCCAUGCCGCGUGUGUGAAGAAGGUCUUCGGAUUGUAAAGCGCUUUAAGUUGGGAGGAAGGGCAGUAAGUUAAUACCUUGCUGUUUUGACGUUACCGACAGAAUAAGCACCGGCUAACUCUGUGCCAGCCGCCGCGGUAACAC
rnacentral:rRNA from 1 species